UGUGAACUCGAAGAGUAGGGCGGGACACGUGGUAUCCUGUCUGAAUAUGGGGGGACCAUCCUCCAAGGCUAAAUACUCCUGACUGACCGAUAGUGAACCAGUACCGUGAGGGAAAGGCGAAAAGAACCCCGGCGAGGGGAGUGAAAAAGAACCUGAAACCGUGUACGUACAAGCAGUAGGAGCCUCUUUAUGGGGUGACUGCGUACCUUUUGUAUAAUGGGUCAGCGACUUAUAUUCUGUAGCAAGGUUAACCGUAUAGGGGAGCCGCAGGGAAACCGAGUCUUAACUGGGCGUUAAGUUGCAGGGUAUAGACCCGAAACCCGGUGAUCUAGCCAUGGGCAGGUUGAAGGUUGGGUAACACUAACUGGAGGACCGAACCGACUAAUGUUGAAAAAUUAGCGGAUGACUUGUGGCUGGGGGUGAAAGGCCAAUCAAACCGGGAGAUAGCUGGUUCUCCCCGAAAGCUAUUUAGGUAGCGCCUCGUGAACUCAUCUUCGGGGGUAGAGCACUGUUUCGGCUAGGGGGUCAUCCCGACUUACCAACCCGAUGCAAACUACGAAUACCGAAGAAUGUUAUCACGGGAGACACACGGCGGGUGCUAACGUCCGUCGUGAAGAGGGAAACAACCCAGACCGCCAGCUAAGGUCCCAAAGUCAUGGUUAAGUGGGAAACGAUGUGGGAAGGCCCAGACAGCCAGGAUGUUGGCUUAGAAGCAGCCAUCAUUUAAAGAAAGCGUAAUAGCUCACUGGUCGAGUCGGCCUGCGCGGAAGAUGUAACGGGGCUAAACCAUGCACCGAAGCUGCGGCAGCGACACUAUGUGUUGUUGGGUAGGGGAGCGUUCUGUAAGCCGUUGAAGGUGGCCUGUGAGGGUUGCUGGAGGUAUCAGAAGUGCGAAUGCUGACAUAAGUAACGAUAAUGCGGGUGAAAAACCCGCACGCCGGAAGACCAAGGGUUCCUGUCCAACGUUAAUCGGGGCAGGGUGAGUCGACCCCUAAGGCGAGGCCGAAAGGCGUAGUCGAUGGGAAACAGGUUAAUAUUCCUGUACUCGGUGUUACUGCGAAGGGGGGACGGAGAAGGCUAUGUUGGCCGGGCGACGGUUGUCCCGGUUUAAGCAUGUAGGCGGA
rnacentral:rRNA from 1 species